UACGGAGGAUGCGAGCGUUAUCCGGAUUUAUUGGGUUUAAAGGGUGCGUAGGCGGGAUGUUAAGUCAGCGGUAAAAUUGCGGUGCUCAACGCCGUACAGCCGUUGAAACUGAUAUUCUUGAGUGGGCGAGAAGUAUGCGGAAUGCGUGGUGUAGCGGUGAAAUGCAUAGAUAUCACGCAGAACUCCGAUUGCGAAGGCAGCAUACCGGCGCCCGACUGACGCUGAGGCACGAAAGCGUGGGUAUCGAACAG
rnacentral:rRNA from 1 species